AAUAUUGGACAAUGUGCGAAAGCCUGAUCCAGCCAUGCCGCGUGUGUGAAGAAGGUCUUCGGAUUGUAAAGCACUUUAAGUAGGGAGGAAGGGCAGUAAGUUAAUACCUUGCUGUGUUGACGUUACCGACAGAAUAAGCACCGGCUAACUCCGUGCCAGCAGCCGGGGUAAUACGAAGGGUGCAAGCGUUAAUCGGAAUUACUGGGCGUAAAGCGCGCGUAGGUGGUUUGAUAAGUUGGAUGUGAAAGGCCCGGGCUCAACCUGGGAAUUGCAUCCAAAACUGUCUGACUGGAGUAUGGCAGAGGGUAGUGGAAUUUCCUGUGUAGCGGUGAAAUGCGUAGAUAUAGGAAGGAACAUCAGUGGCGAAGGCGACUACCUGGACUGAUACUGACACUGAGGUGCGAAAGCGUGGGGAGCAAACAGG
rnacentral:rRNA from 1 species